UAAAACGAAAAAAAAACGCUAUAUCAUUGAAAAAUAAAUUCGAAGAAGCGACUUCACGAAUACAAAAUUUAACCCGUGAAAAUGAUAAUAUUUACUAGUUUACCUAGGUACAUAAAUUUAUAGAGAUUUUUAAUUUUUCGUGUUUCAGACAAAACGAUUUUUUUGGACGAUCGAGUAAAAUAGUUAAAGCGUGAAAGGUUCUUCCCUAUCGGGUCUUUUAGCAGUCUUAACAAAUGUGCCUUCGUUCCUUCAAGCUUUCGACCAGCCCACAUUAAUCUUCUUCUCGUAAUUUCUGCAAUAAUGUCUAAUUUUUGAAACAAGUUCUCAUUCCUCAUCGUGACGUACCCUCCAUUCCCAGUGUCAGAGUGGACAUAUGGCCCAUAAAUUCUUCUUAAAUUUUUUCGCUUAAACACUGCAAGUCUUGUU